rnacentral:lncRNA from 1 species
AACGUGGCUGAUCAAUUUGCUGACAGAUUUCCCAUUAUUCAUUAGGAUUAUGUUUCCUAGUUUCUCUAAACUUAUUAUAUUUCCUAGUUUUAGAAGAACUUUUCUGGUAAGGAUUUUAUUUUGUAGUAGUAUAACUAAGGAGUUUACUUUGGGGAAUUCAGUUUAGAGAGCUUUUGACGAUUUAAGUUUAUUUAUAAGGUGUUUUCUAUCCAUAUUUUUAAUAAUAUUUUACUUUUUAAUUAUGCUACUACAUAACUAAUCAUUUUUGCUAGGGUGAGGCUAUAAGCCUUAGCUUUUCAAUUUGCUUAUGAUAUUAUGCAUGCAAAUUUUGAAUUAUUAAUCACCAUGUUUGAAUCUAUCUAUUUAUCUUAAUGCAUGGAUACCAUUAUUAUAUUUAUAAAAGUAAUUUGAUACAAUUUUGGUCCGAAGGUUUUCCUUGAAAUUGGUCAAGGCUUCUUGUGGCUAAUAAUUGUAAUUUCACUUAGGAUGAAUACCACAUCUUAAGGGUUGCAUAGUUUUUCAAAGAGUUUUCAUAAAGUUUAAUGAGUCUUCCAUGUUUAGAUUUAAUCUGAAUACCACAAACAAAUUGCAUAUUUGAUUUAUAUGAGUUGGGUUUUUUCCCUGCUUUCUUCCAUUGUUAUUUAUAGUCAUUUGUAAAAAGAGAAAUAUUUAUAGGAAAUGCAUGCUUGUGAAAAAUACAAUUGAAUAUCGGCAUGCCCACUACUAAUUGAAGAUAAUUUAAAACUUAUUUCAUUCCUUCAUUACCAGCAAAUUAAUAAGUAAAUUACUUUUGUAAAAUUCGUAUCUAGUUCACGUGAGUAAUGGUGUAAAAGCCCAGUACUAAGUACUCAAGUUCAAAAUGAUUUUGCUUUUUGGUAAAAGAAAAAAAAAUAGUACAAGGUGAAGUAGAAUCAUGUUAAUAUAAUUGCAAGUGGAAUGGCACAUAAGUUGGCACAAUAUGGUUAAACAAUGCAAGAUUUGGGUCAGUUUGAGAAGCCUCCGAACUUAAUUGUAGACCUCUUGCUGGAGGAUAACAAAUAUGUAU